GACGAACGCUGGCGGCGUGCCUAAUACAUGCAAGUCGAGCGAACAGAUAAGGAGCUUGCUCCUUUGACGUUAGCGGCGGACGGGUGAGUAACACGUGGGUAACCUACCUAUAAGACUGGGAUAACUUCGGGAAACCGGAGCUAAUACCGGAUAACAUUUGGAACCGCAUGGUUCUAAAGUGAAAGAUGGUUUUGCUAUCACUUAUAGAUGGACCCGCGCCGUAUUAGCUAGUUGGUAAGGUAACGGCUUACCAAGGCAACGAUACGUAGCCGACCUGAGAGGGUGAUCGGCCACACUGGAACUGAGACACGGUCCAGACUCCUACGGGAGGCAGCAGUAGGGAAUCUUCCGCAAUGGGCGAAAGCCUGACGGAGCAACGCCGCGUGAGUGAUGAAGGGUUUCGGCUCGUAAAACUCUGUUAUUAGGGAAGAACAAAUGUGUAAGUAACUGUGCACGUCUUGACGGUACCUAAUCAGAAAGCCACGGCUAACUACGUG
rnacentral:rRNA from 1 species